GAAGAGAGUUAUUUGAUGGAGGGAAGGAGGUUAUUUGAUGAAGGGAGGGGGGUAUUUGAUGGAAGAAGAGGGUUAUUUAAUGAAGGGAGGGGGUUAUUUGAUGGAGGAAGGAGGGUUAUUUGAUGGAAGGAGGUUAUUUGAUGGAAGAAGAGGGUUAUUUAAUGAAGGAAGGAGGUUAUUUGAUGGAGGAAGGAGGGAGGAGUUAUUUGAUGGAGGGAGGAGGUUAUUUGAUGGAGGAGUGGGCUUAUUGAGGGGAAGAGGAGAUUAUGGAGGCGGAGGGGAAUUAUUGAGGAGAGGGUCCCCCAAAUUGUUAUUUUUGAUGCAGAAAACCCCUCAGGGAGAUAAAUAUCUGCCUCCCUCCUUGAGGAGACCCCCCCCCCCCAACACACACCC